GGGCCGCUAACUCAUCAGGUAGAGUACCGGCCUUUUAAGCCGGGUGUGCUGGGUUCGAGCCCCGGGCGGCUCA
rnacentral:tRNA from 1 species